AACGAACGCUGGCGGCAGGCUUAACACAUGCAAGUCGAGCGCCCCGCAAGGGGAGCGGCAGACGGGUGAGUAACGCGUGGGAAUCUACCCAUCUCUACGGAAUAACGCAUGGAAACGUGUGCUAAUACCGUAUACGUCCUUCGGGAGAAAGAUUUAUCGGAGAUGGAUGAGCCCGCGUUGGAUUAGCUAGUUGGUGGGGUAAAGGCCUACCAAGGCGACGAUCCAUAGCUGGUCUGAGAGGAUGAUCAGCCACACUGGGACUGAGACACGGCCCAGACUCCUAAGCGAGGCAGCAGUGGGGAAUAUUGGACAAUGGGCGCAAGCCUGAUCCAGCCAUGCCGCGUGAGUGAUGAAGGCCCUAGGGUUGUAAAGCUCUUUCACCGGUGAAGAUAAUGACGGUAACCGGAGAAGAAGCCCCGGCUAACUUCGUGCCAGCCGCCGCGGUAACAC
rnacentral:rRNA from 1 species